CCUACGGGUGGCAGCAGUGAGGAAUAUUGGUCAAUGGGCUUACGCCUGAACCAGCCAAGUCGCGUGAGGGAAGACUGCCCUAUGGGUUGUAAACCUCUUUUGUCAGGGAGCAACGCCUGCUACGUGUAGCCGGACUGAGAGUACCUGCAGACAAAGCAUCGGCUAACUCCGUCCAAACAGCCGCGGUAAUACGGAGGAUGCGAGCGUUCUCCGGAUUUGUUGGGUUUAAAGGGUGCGUAGGCGGAAUGCCAAGUCAGCGGUAAAAUCGCGGGGCUCAACCUCGCUCUGCCGUUGAAACUGGUGUUCUUGAGUGGGCGAGAAGCAUGCGGAAUGCGUGGUGUAGCGGUGAAAUGCAUAGAUAUCACGAAGAACUCCGAUUGCGAAGGCAGCAUACCGGAGCCCAACUGACGCUGAAGCACGAAAGCGUGGGUAUCGAACAGGAUUAGAUACCCGUGUAGUC
rnacentral:rRNA from 1 species